UGCUGGAGGUAUCAGAAGUGCGAAUGCUGACAUAAGUAACGAUAAAGCGGGUGAAAAGCCCGCUCGCCGGAAGACCAAGGGUUCCUGUCCAACGUUAAUCGGGGCAGGGUGAGUCGACCCCUAAGGCGAGGCCGAAAGGCGUAGUCGAUGGGAAACGGGUUAAUAUUCCCGUACUUGGUGUUACUGCGAAGGGGGGACGGAGAAGGCUAUGUUGGCCGGGCGACGGUUGUCCCGGUUUAAGCGUGUAGGUGUGUGUUCCAGGUAAAUCCGGUUCACUUUAACACUGAGGCGUGACGACGAGGCACUACGGUGCUGAAGCAACAAAUGCCCUGCUUCCAGGAAAAGCCUCUAAGCAUC
rnacentral:rRNA from 1 species